UUAAGCGGGGAUGAGAACCUUUCGACGACUGGGCCAGCAUCCAGGGCGUGCAGGGCAUCAAUCAGCGUGCAGCGCAGUUUUCUGCUCAUGGUCGCCUGCGACCUUGGCGGGCCUUUCGAUUCACGCCCGUCGGGGUCCUUUCCGUACCGCAGGAGAAGGCGCGCGACGUCCUCGGCGAAGCCGCCCUGGGAGGACAGGCUUCUGUGCACCUCCGGAUAAGUGUCG
rnacentral:lncRNA from 1 species